UACGGAAGGCAGCAGUGGGGAAUAUUGCACAAUGGGCGCAAGCCUGAUGCAGCCAUGCCGCGUGUAUGAAGAAGGCCUUCGGGUUGUAAAGUACUUUCAGUCGUGAGGAAGGUGUUAAGGUUAAUAACCUUAGCAAUUGACGUUAGCGACAGAAGAAGCACCGGCUAACUCCGUGCCAGCAGCCGCGGUAAUACGGAGGGUGCGAGCGUUAAUCGGAAUUACUGGGCGUAAAGGGCACGCAGGCGGUUAAUUAAGUUGGAUGUGAAAUCCCCGGGCUUAACCUGGGAAUGGCAUUCAAGCUGGUUAGCUAGAGUCUUGUAGAGGGGGUAGAAUUCCGAUGUGUAGCGGUGAAAUGCGUAGAGAUGUGGAGGAAUACCGGUGGCGAAGGCGGCCCCUGGACAAAGGCUGACGCUCAUGUGCGAAAGCGUGGGGAGCAAACG
rnacentral:rRNA from 1 species